CACCCACUCCCUAAAGGACAUUUGAAAGAGGAGUCCCCGGGCUGCUUUGCUUCAGGGAGAGAAUGGACCAGAGUUGAGUCCAGAGUAGACAGGCCAAGUGCUUGCCUGAGUAGCCAAUGAACUGUCACAUCUGAGAUCUAGAAUGACUGCUCAUUGGAGUGAGAAAAAAUGAAUGCAAAAGUUCGCCUUGUUGACAGUAUCAUCAUCUCCCUUUCCUACUGGCACAUAAUCGGGAAUUUGAGCCUCAAGAAGCCAGCGACUUAGACCAGCUCCCCUAGAAACAGACCCUGACUAAGGAUUCAAGCAAAAGUAGUUUACUAAGAAGAGAUCCCAGGAAGCACAAAAGGAGUAGUCAAGAAGUGAAACAAAAAGAGAUUUUAAGCACUCUGUGUGGGAAAAAGAAAAGUGUCUUAUUCAACUCCGUACUCUCUUCCGCAAGCUUCAUAAGAUACAACAGCAUCAAGCAGGGCACUUCCCACAUGCCACAGAGAAAAGGCCAUGUGAGGACACAGCAAGAAGGUGGCCAUUGGCAAACCAAGAAGAGAGCCCUCACCAGGAACCCAACUAACCAGCAUCUUGAUCAUGGACUUGUAGCCUCCAGAACUAUGAGAAAAUAAAUGUCUGUUGUUUAAGCCACCCAGUCUGUUUUUGUCAUGGCAGCCUGAGCAGACUAAUAUAGUUUAUUUGUCUAUUGUUUUCACUGCCAACCAGUAUCCACCUCCUCCUCCUCCUCCUCAACUGGUAAUGAUUUUCCUUUGGUUAUUCACCCAACUCCCAGGCAACCUAUGUGAUUCAAGGUGGAACCAAUGGCUCAGACAUAAAUAAAUCAACAUAAUUCCAAUCCCUGCCCACACUGAUUUGUUCAAGGAUGAGCAUGUGACCAUAAAGCUGGCCUGAUCAAAACGAAGUCUAUGAUGUGUGUUCGAAGGUUGACAUAAGCCGUAAUUUUCUUUUCUGCUGGAUGGGCAUCUGGAGGAUAUAGCAUCAAGAGUGGAUGAAAGUCAUCUGUCCUGCAACCAUAAGACAAAUGUUUGUCUUCAAGUUGAGCCACCCAAAUGGAAAAGAGCCAAAAGAUGGAUCCUGGCCACAGUGUUUGGGCCUUGCAUCAAGCCACAUACAAGCUUGUAUUUACUCCUGGAUGGUAUAUUUAUGUGAAACAAUAA
rnacentral:lncRNA from 1 species